CUGAGAGGGAAGUCUGAGCGUGCAGAUUUUAAAGGAACUUGACUUAUGGCAUCAAACCCCCUUAGGAUGCAGAGACCACCAACAUACUCCUUCCUGACUUCACUGUGCCCAAGUGGGAUGACAUAAGGGCUUCCCAGGUGGCGCUAGUGUUAAAGAACCCUCCUGCCGGUGCAGAAGACAUAAGAGACGCGGGUUUGAUCUUGGGAAGAUCCCCUGAAAGAGGGCAUGGCAAGCCACUCCAGUAUUCUUGCCUGGAGAAUCCCAUGGACAGAGGAGCCUGGCGGACUACGGUCCAUGGGGUCGCACAGAGUCGGACACGACGGAAGCCACGCGGCACACAUGCGUGCAAGAUGACAGUAAACAAGCCAUUUCUAUUUCCAGGACACCCGAUUUUUUAGCAUCUCAGGAAGCGUCAGAAGAUUCUCAGGGUUGUUGAAAGGCGGUGCAGGACCCAGAGGGAGAACAGACGAAAGCUGAAUUUCGCCGACGUGGAGAUGACCUGGGAGCUGAAGACCUGACUUUGGUUCCUGGUUUUUGCCUCUUCCCACCUCUUGGGCUUGACUCUUUUCUUUCUCUCGUCCCCCGAGGCCUCAGUUUCCCCGCCUGAAAUGUGCAGCCAGAACAAUUUGCUAAUCCAGUGCCCAUGGAUGGGCAGAAAAAAUAUUUUGAAUUCUCAUCACCUUUUUUUCCUUUGAAUGAACUUGUUUAUCCCGCUGGACAGGGUCGGAGAGAGUCGAGGAGGAGGAGCAGCGAGGGGAGUGCCAUCCAGCUAAGCUGACGUGACGCAUUAGAAGGUCUGACCCCCGGACAGAGGGCCGUGUUGUCGGGCCUCGGAGCACCCUUCUGGAAGCCGAUGGCCAGGUCUGAUGCAACCGUGCCAGGAACUCCUGGGCCUGAAGGAACCCUGGCACCUAGCGUCUCUGCUCAGUGGGGAAGCUGACCCAGCCCAGCUCACAGGGAAGGCAGCACCUUUGGAACCUCUGCUGAACCCAACCUUUUGGCUGACUCAAGAUCUUUGCCCCCUGGAGCAUCCCAGGUCUCACAGAGCCAUUGUUGCUCUAUUUCUCUGCCUGCAGCUCAUUCUCCCUUCUCCCCUGUCUCCCUCCCUCUCCUCCUUUUCCCCAGCCCGCUGACCCCAACCCAGGAGCAGGUUCCCAUGCAUCCUUUGCUGACCAGCACAAGUGCCA
rnacentral:lncRNA from 1 species